UGUGUGCCAUCUGUGUUUCCCGUACAUAGACCAAUGGGAAACACCGAUGGCACACAGA
rnacentral:pre_miRNA from 1 species